GAUGAAGAACGUAGCGAAAUGCGAUAAGUAAUGCGAAUUGCAGAAUCCGUGAGUCAUCGAAUCUUUGAACGCACAUUGCGCCCUGUGGUAUUCCGCAGGGCAUGCCUGUUCGAGCGUCAUUUCAACCCUCAAGCUCUGCUUGGUGUUGGGCCACGCCCUCGCGGCCGGCCCCAAAGCCAGUGGCGGCGCCGUCCGGCUCUAAGCGUAGUACAUCUCUCGCUCUAGGGCCCGGCGGCUGCCUGCCAGAACCCCAAACUCUUAUGGUUGACCUCGGAUCAGGUAGGGAUACCCGCUGAACUUAAGCAUAUCAAUAAGCGGAGGA
rnacentral:misc_RNA from 1 species